AGGGCAAACCUGCCUCUGCCCCAAGUGCAAAGUCCAAGAAAGUUCCAGAUGCUAAGGAAUUUGUCGAGACGGAGUUAUCUCUGGAAGUCUGUGAGGAGAAGGCGGCUGCUGUGCUCCCAGCCUCCUGUAUGCAGCUGCUGGACAGCGGCAACUGGAAGGAGAGACUUGCUAGCAUGGAGGAGUUUCAGAGGGCUGUGGAGCAGAUGGACAAAUCUGAAAUGCCAUGCCAGGCUUUAGUCAGGAUGCUGGCUAAGAAACCUGGAUGGAAAGAGACCAACUUUCAGGUGAUGCAAAUGAAGCUCCACAUUGUGGGUCUAAUUGCACAAAAGGGAUUGUUCUCCAA